rnacentral:rRNA from 1 species
CCUACGGGAGGCAGCAGUGAGGAAUAUUGGACAAUGGGCGCAAGCCUGAUCCAGCCAUGCCGCGUGCAGGAAGAAGCAUCUAUGGUGUGUAAACUGCUUUUGUACAGGAAGAAACACUCCCUCGUGAGGGAGCUUGACGGUACUGUAAGAAUAAGGACCGGCUAACUCCGUGCCAGCAGCCGCGGUAAUACGGAGGGUCCGAGCGUUAUCCGGAAUCAUUGGGUUUAAAGGGUCCGUAGGCGGUUUAAUAAGUCAGUGGUGAAAUCUGGUCGCUCAACGAUCAAACGGCCAUUGAUACUGUUAGACUUGAAUUAUAAGGAAGUAACUAGAAUAUGUAGUGUAGCGGUGAAAUGCUUAGAUAUUACAUGGAAUACCAAUUGCGAAGGCAGGUUACUACUUAUGGAUUGACGCUGAUGGACGAAAGCGUGGGGAGCGAACAGGAUUAGAUACCCGGGUAGUCCACGCCGUAAACGAUGGAUACUAGCUGUUCGGAGCAAUCUGAGUGGNGAGAGAAGAGAGUAAGUAGUACCACCGUACGGGAGGUACGGUUAACGUCGAAGAAAGUUAGUAAACGUUAACGAAAGGAAGUUAGACGGCGNGAGACGNGCGACGGACGACGACGAGGGAGGAGG